CCUACGGGGGGCAGCAGUGAGGAAUAUUGGUCAAUGGACGAGAGUCUGAACCAGCCAAGUAGCGUGAAGGAUGACUGCCCUAUGGGUUGUAAACUUCUUUUAUCUGGGAAUAAAAUGUUCCACGUGUGGGAUUUUUUAUGUACCAUAUAAAUAAGGAUCGGCUAAAUCCCGUCCAGCAGCCGCGGUAAUACGGAGGAUCCGAGCGUUAGCCGGAUUUAUUGGGUUUAAAGGGAGCGUAGGGGGAUUGUUAAGUCAGUUGUGAAAGUUUGCGGCUCAACCGUAACAUUGCAGUUGAAACUGGCAGUCUUGAGUACAGGAGAGGUGGGCGGAAUUCGUGGUGUAGCGGUGAAAUGCUUAGAUAUCACGAAGAACUCCGAUUGCGAAGGCAGUUCACUGGACUGCAACUGACACUGAGGCUCGAAAGUGUGGGUAUCAAACAGGAUUAGAUACCCGGGUAGUC
rnacentral:rRNA from 1 species